AUGAAGGGAAGGGGGCCCGAACAAGGGGUGGAGGAUGUGGUUUAAUUCGAUGCAACGCGAAUGACCUUACCUACUCGUGACAUCGAGAGAACGUUCCAGAGAUGGAUUGGUGCGUUCGGGAACUGUGAGACAGGUGCUGCAUGGCGGUAGUCAGCUCGUGUUGUGAAAUGGUGGGUUAAGUAGCGCAACGAGCGAAAGCAUUAUAGUAUGUUGCCAGAGGUUAGGGAGGGAACACAAAGGAGACUGCCAGUGAUAAACUGGAGGAAGGUGGGGAUGACGUCAAGUCAUCAUGGCCCUUACGAGUAGGGCUACACACGUGCUACAAUGGCGCAUACAAAGAGAAGCGACCUCGCGAGAGCAAGCGGACCUCAUAAAGUGCGUCGUAGUCCGGAUUGGAGUCUGCAACUCGACUCCAUGAAGUCGGAAUCGCUAGUAAUCGUAGAUCAGAAUGCUACGGUGAAUACGUUCCCGGGCCUUGUACACACCGCCCGUCACACCAUGGGAGUGGGUUGCAAAAGAAGUAGGUAGCUUAACCUUCGGGAGGGCGCUUACCACUUUGUGAUUCAUGACUGGGGUGAAGUCGUAACAAGGUAACCGUAGGGGAACCUGCGGUUGGAUCACCUCCUUACCUUAAAGAA
rnacentral:rRNA from 1 species